rnacentral:lncRNA from 1 species
GUGGUCAGGUUGGUCAAGCAAACUGAGACCUAAUCAUUCGUUAGUUAGAUGUACUGAGUAUGGUCAUGUUAAUGAUUGGAUCUAAUCAAAAUUUUCAGUGGAAGCAUAAACACCUGCUGAAAUGAUACCUGGGGUAAAACUAAUUACUAAAAAUUAUUUAAAAAAAUAAUUGGUUAAGAACCUACCCAUAGGUGCACAUGGGUUGGUCGAGCAAACUCGGGCCUGUAUGCAAUCUAUGUGGAUUCUAGUACCUGCUAAGAAAUUAAUAUAAUUCUUCGAAUUGAAAGUAGAGGCUACCAAUUCAUAUAAAAUAGUGGGAGAACUAUUAGACUAAAGUCUAAGUCUUUAGGCUUUAAUAAUUCAUAUACUAAUUAGGCUUUUAUUUUUCUUUCAGUUAUGGCUAUCACUUUGUCUCUCCGAUCACUAUUGGAUAGUGAUAAACUUAUGGGGUCUAAUUUCAAUAGCUGAUAUCAAAAAUUGAAGAUAGUCCUGGAGAUAAGUGGAUCUUGUACGUGCUUAUAGAUUCGACAUCGGAGAAGCUUGCCCCGAACGCACACGGUGCGAUCCGAGAUUCUUAUCAGAAGUGGCUCAACACCGUACCAUGGUGCGUUGCAUCAUGCAGGUAGUCAUGAAUGAUGAGUUCAACCACAAGUUCAAGGAU